ACGAACGCUGGCGGCGUGCUUCACACCUGCAAGUCGCACGGAAAGGCCCUGCUUUUGUGGGGUGCUCGAGUGGCGAACGGGUGAGUAACACGUGAGUAACCUGCCCUUGACUUUGGGUUAACUUCAGGAAACUGGGGCUAAUACCGGAUAGGAGCUCCUGCUGCAUGGUGGGGGUUGGAAAGUUUCGGCGGUUGGGGAUGGACUCGCGGCUUAUCAGCUUGUUGGUGGGGUAGUGGCUUACCAAGGCUUUGACGGGUAGCCGGCCUGAGAGGGUGACCGGCCACAUUGGGACUGAGAUACGGCCCAGACUCCUACGGGAGGCAGCAGUGGGGAAUAUUGCACAAUGGGCGGAAGCCUGAUGCAGCAACGCCGCGUGCGGGAUGACGGCCUUCGGGUUGUAAACCGCUUUCGCCUGUGACGAAGCGUGAGUGACGGUAAUGGGUAAAGAAGCACCGGCUAACUACGUG
rnacentral:rRNA from 1 species